rnacentral:tRNA from 1 species
AGGGGUAUAGCCAAGUUGGUAAGGCAUCGGGUUUUGAUCCCGACAUUCGCAAGUUCGAGUCUUGCUACCCCUUCCA